CUUCACUCUCUUCUCUUAUUUCUAGAGAGAGAGGCUCUGCCUUCUCUCUAGAAUUUCUUCACCUUCUCCGACGAGGAGAGGCUACCGGAGGUGGUUCCGGCGCGGUGGCCGGUGAGCCACAGCGGCUGCGCCGCCGCGCCGGAGAUGAAAGUAUAUCCUUUUUUUAUUUUUUUACGUCCUCUCUCCUUCUUUUCUCUCCCUCUUUCCGAUUUUGCACACAAAAUUUCCAAACAAAAGUUAAAACGUCCUAGAUCUAAAAGGAAAGAAAAUACUACUUUCUUUUCUACUUGAACGGAUUUGUUUGUGACGGUUUGUUGUUGUUGUUGUGAGAAUAGUUUGUGUUCUUGUGACGUGUGUGUUGUGCGGUUUGGUUACCGGAUCUGUGAGUUUGGUUGUUGAUCUUGUGUUAGAGAUGUUCUGGUUUGAAAUUUGUGUUUGGUAAUUUGCGAUGUUAUUUGUGUGAUGUUGAUUAUGUGAAAAAAAAUGUUUGUGUUUUGGUUCUGGCUGUGAUUGUAGGUCGGGAUCAAAAAGAAGUGGAGUGAAAAUUGUUGUAUGUGUUCUAGCUGUGGAAUGUUUUUUUCAUGUUGGGCCCCCUUCUUCUUGGCUGCUUGCGUGUUUGUAUUUAUAGAGCAGAAUUUUGUUGCUUGGAGAGGAACAUGACAGCCUGUUUUGAGCUGUGUGUUUGGAUAUUAUCGGACAAAAUUUUGAUUUAUUUUUGGACAUUAAAAAUAAAAUAAAAUGACUAAGAAUAAAUAAAACAAAAAUAAGAUAAAAUAAAGGUUAAAAAAAAUGAAAUUAAAAUUAAAUGAAAAUUGAGAGAAGAGGGCCCGACUCGGAAUCAAAUAUGAGGUAUUUUAAAAUAC
rnacentral:lncRNA from 1 species